rnacentral:lncRNA from 1 species
UGAAGGAGGUGACACAAAGAAUGGAAAGGCUGUGGACGGCGGGUGGAGAGGAGCAAGGGCGGGCGAACUUUCACGCCAGUGUGUUGGCUGGGGAGCAGCUUCCCAAGGAGCAGACUGGGGAUGUUCAUUUUGUGGCUCCCUUGUAAGACACCUAUCUUUUGGAUGUACUGGUGUAAUUGUCUGGAGCAGAUUUUUCAAGGAAUGUGGUAAAGCACAGAUCAUAGCUGAGACUACUGUGUGGCCAUAUGUUAACUAAACCGAAAGGGAAGCAGUUUGCAAAGCUCUCAGCUGGGGAGCUCUGUAUUUGAAUGAUUCUUCCCCCAGCAGAGCCCCCAGUAACUCCCGGUCUGUCCCCAGGUUACCUGGCGGUUCCCAGGUGACGAGGACCCCGCUUCUGUUGCUUCCCGCCUGAUCUUCCGGGCGUGAUGGUCUCUCUGCCUCCUCACAGAAUCCUUCCUGUAGUUGAAAUUUGGUUUUCUCUGAGUCCUCUGCAGCGCUUGAAUGGUGUGUGGCAUUGACUUACUGUUAGAAUGAAUCAUUUAAAAUGCAUUUUAUCCCGGUGUUUAUGUACCAAACAGAUUUUGUUGUCUGUCUUUUUUGCUAGAGUUUGAGAGCUCUAACAUCUUAUUAAACGAUAGCCUAGGAAGGCAGGCUGUUACGUUGAGAUUGUUAUGGACUGAAUGCUAUGUUCCCUCGGAAUUUGUAUGUUGAAUUCCUAAGCCCCAGUGUGACUGCAUUUGGAGGUGGGGCCUCGAGGGUAAAUGCAGCCUUAAGGGUGGGGCCCUAAUCUGGUAGGAUUAGUGUCCUUGUAAGGAGAGAGGCCCGGGAGGGAGCUUGGAGCAAACGCGUGUGAGGAAGCGGUGAGAAGGCGUGGUUCGCAAACCGGAAGAGAGCGCUCACCAGGGGCGGAGUCGGCUGGAGCCUUGAUCCGGACCUUCAUCCUCCAGGACCCGGAGAGAGUAAAUGUUGCUGGAUGUGCCCAGUCUAUGGUGUUUGUUGUGGCAUCCCGAACAGACUCAUACGGAGAGAUGAGGCAGGAAGACAGAGGAAGUCACACACAACCAAACUGGUGUACAGUAAAAUAAGGAUCUCACACUGCUUUUUCUGUACAGUGUGCAGAUAUGGCUACAAUGAUGGUGAAAUUGAGUGAAAAAAUCAUAUAGGAUCUCAGUGUAUGAAGGUUUCACUGUUACUAUACAACUGUAAGGGAUUUUUUUCUUCUUUUUUUUUUCCCCCCUAAAUAUUCUUCUCCCCAAAGCCCCCAGUACAUAGCUACAUAUUUUAGUUGUGGGUCCUUCUAGUUGUGCUGUGUGGGACGCUGCCGCAGCAUGGCCUGAUGAGCGGUGCCAUG